rnacentral:rRNA from 1 species
GUGGUUUAAUUCGAUGAUACGCGAGGAACCGUUACCUGGGCUCAAAUGUAUGUUGUACGUAUUCUGAAAGGGAUACUUCUUCGGACAAUAUACAAGGUGCUGCAUGGUUGUCGUCAGCUCGUGCCGUGAGGUGUCGGGUUAAGUCCCAUAACGAGCGCAACCCCUAUCAUUAGUUGCCAUCAGGUCAAGCUGGGGACUCUAAUGAAACUGCCUACGCAAGUAGUGAGGAAGGUGGGGAUGACGUCAAAUCAGCACGGCCCUUACGUCCAGGGCUACACACGUGCUACAAUGGCCGGUACAAAGGGCAGCUACCUGGUGACAGGAUGCUAAUCUCAAAAGCCGGUCUCAGUUCGGAUCGGAGUCUGCAACCCGACUCCGUGAAGCUGGAGUCGCUAGUAAUCGCGCAUCAGCCAUGGCGCGGUGAAUACGUUCCCGGGCCUU